AGUGAGCGGCAAAGCUCAAAUUUGAAAUCUGGCGUCUUUGGCGUCGAGAAGGAAUUUGAAGAAGGUAUCUUUGGGCCCGGCUCUUGUCUAUGUUCCUUGGAACAGGACGUCACAGAGGGUGAGAAUCCCGUGCGAUGAGAUGACCCGGGUCUGUGUAAAGUUCCUUCGACGAGUCGAGUUGUUUGGGAAUGCAGCUCUAAGUGGGUGGUAAAUUCCAUCUAAAGCUAAAUAUUGGCGAGAGACCGAUAGCGAACAAGUACAGUGAUGGAAAGAUGAAAAGAACUUUGAAAAGAGAGUGAAAAAGUACGUGAAAUUGUUGAAAGGGAAGGGCUUGAGAUCAGACUUGGUAUUUUGCAUGCUGCUCUCUCGGGGGCGGCCGCUGCGGUUUACCGGGCCAGCAUCGGUUUGGAGCGGCAGGAUAAUGGCGGAGGAAUGUGGCACGGCUUCUGCUGUGUGUUAUAGCCUCUGACGAUGCUGCCAGCCUAGACCGAGGACUGCGGUUUUUAACCUAGGAUGUUGGCAUAAUGAUCUUAAGUCGCCCGUCUUGAA
rnacentral:rRNA from 1 species